rnacentral:sRNA from 1 species
UAAAAGCUUAUAAAAUACAAACAUC